CAUUUGGAGUCUUUCCUGGCAGAAAAUCAAUGUGAGUUCAUUUUUAAUGCACCAUCAGCAAGUCAUGCUGGUGGUGUUUGGGAGCGUCAGAUACGAACCAUUCAAAAUGUAUUAGCUUUUACUCUAUCACAAAACUUGGGAAAACUUGAUGAUGCUUCAUUAAGAACUUUCUUUUAUGAAGCCAUGGCCAUAAUUAAUAGUCUCCUUUAACACUGAAGGGAAUGAAUGACCCUGGUUCUCUUGAACCUUUAACUCCUAACCAUCUGCUUCAGAUGAAGUCUGAAUCUGCCUUGCCUCCUGUAGGAAAAUUUGUGAGGGAGGAUAUCUAUUCCUCAAAACGUUGGCGCCGUGUGCAGUUUCUGGUUGAGCAGUUUGGAGUCGGUGGAAGAGAGAAUACCUCCAGAAUAUUUCCAUUAGACAAAAAUGGCAUGUAGUUCGGCGCAAUUUAAAAAUAAAUGAUAUUGUAAUAGUAAAAGAGGAUUUUCUCCCAAGAAAUAGGUGGCAGUUGGGUCGUGUUGUUGAAACAAUUGUUGAUAGCGAUGGCUUGGUUCGAAAAGUAAAAUUGAGGACAGGAGAACAAAGAUCAGGUAGGGAUAUUAUUUCUAAGAGUUCAGUAAUAGACUGGUGCAAAAAUUGGUGUUAUUAGAAAAUGAUUUGUAAACUUAAUGUACACAGACGAGCAUGUUUUUAAACAAUCUGCAUGAUUUUUUAAAAAAAAACCUUUUAAAUAAUGCAUAAUUUUAGUAAUGGUUCAUGCAUUAUUGGUGGGAGUGUAACGGAUUGUAAAAUGAAAUGUCUAAAUUAUUUGUAGUUUAUUUAAAUUAAACAAUUUAAAUGAAUUUCUAAUUUAAGACUGUUGCAGAUUGUUUAUGUAUGUUUGUCUGUUUUGGUUUGCAUUGUUGGUGAUUUAUUUGGUUUAAUGGUAUUUUGUAAUGUUUUGGGAUUUUUUUUUGUUUAAUACGUACCUCACGGGCUGCCGUAGAGAAAGAGGGCAGGGCCUAUAAAACUGGGGAAUUGCAGUGAACCAAAUGAACUGUCAAACGUUGGACUAAGAAAUGGCGUUCCCCAGUAAAGGCAGCGAGUUUUCACGGUGAUGGUGAUGAUGAUGGUGAUGAUGAUGGAGGUUUUGAAGUCAAGUGACCUGACGAUGAUCCAGCAAAAUCAUCAAAGGAGAAAUAAAGCCAAUAUCACCUGUC